rnacentral:misc_RNA from 1 species
AUGCUUCAGAUGAAUUCUGGAUUUGUUGCGACUUAUGUGAGAGGUGGUUCCAUGGGAAUUGUGUGAAGAUCACACCUGCGAAGGCUGAGCAUAUAAAGCAGUACAAAUGUCCAUCAUGCAGCAACAAGAGGCCACGCCCUUGACAUCCUGUUGAAUUCCACCGUUAUAUUUGUCUCAUGUAGGACUCAGCAUACUGUCACAUUACGUACAUCAACAUAUGGCAUGUUCAUCCAAAUCUGGUUGUUGCUCUUUGUUUUUUGGAUAAUGUACUAG